CAGUGACUUAUUCUCAAUAAACCCUGUGGCUGAGAGAGCACAGAUGUCAUUCGCUCCUGAUCUGGAAUAGUUGGAAAGUGAUUCCAUCAAGAUGCUGUCAGAUUGCAAAGCUUAAUGUUUGAAGAAGAAUCUGGAGAGUAUGAAGAGCCUUGGAACUGGGAUGAUUUUCUACAGCCUCAAAGCAGUUUCUGGUCAUGUCAGGUCAAGUGUUGUCUUCAUGCCACACCCCUGAAGCAGCUGAAAGGCUUGGUAUCUGGCACGUUUGUUUCACACCUUGGUUAGCAGACCCCUGA